AUCGAACGCUGGCGGCAUGCCUAACACAUGCAAGUCGAGCGAGCGGCGGACGGGUGAGUAAUGUAUGGGGACUGCCCGAUCGAGGGGGAUAACUACUGGAAACGGUAGCUAAUACCGCAUACUAUCGGAUAACCCAUAUGGGUUUAGCUAGUAGGUGAGGUAAUGGCUCACCUAGGCGACGAUCCCUAGCUGGUCGGAGAGGAUGAUCAGCCACACUGGGACUGAGACACGGGCCAGAGUCCUACGGAGGAAGAAGUGGGGAAUAUUGGACAAUGGGCGCAAGCCGGAUGCAGCCAGGCCGCGGGUAUGAAGAAGGCCCUAGGGUUGUAAAGUACUUUCAGUCGGGAGGCGUUACCGACAGAAGAAGCACCGGCUAACUCCGUGCCAGCCGCCGCGGUAAUUC
rnacentral:rRNA from 1 species